rnacentral:rRNA from 1 species
GAUGAACGCUGGCGGCGUGCUUAACACAUGCAAGUCGAACGGUGAAGCAGAGCUUGCUCUGUGGAUCAGUGGCGAACGGGUGAGUAACACGUGAGCAACCUGCCCUGGACUCUGGGAUAAGCGCUGGAAACGGCGUCUAAUACUGGAUACGAGACGUGGCCGCAUGGUCAACGUUUGGAAAGAUUUUUUGGUUCAGGAUGGGCUCGCGGCCUAUCAGCUUGUUGGUGAGGUAAUGGCUCACCAAGGUGUCGACGGGUAGCCGGCCUGAGAGGGUGACCGGCCACACUGGGACUGAGACACGGCCCAGACUCCUACGGGAGGCAGCAGUGGGGAAUAUUGCACAAUGGGCGAAAGCCUGAUGCAGCAACGCCGCGUGAGGGAUGACGGCCUUCGGGUUGUAAACCUCUUUUAGCAAGGAAGAAGCGAAAGUGACGGUACUUGCAGAAAAAGCGCCGGCUAACUACGUGCCAGCCGCCGCGGUAAUAC